CGUGGGUAACCUGCCCAAGAGAUCGGGAUAACACCUGGAAACAGAUGCUAAUACCGGAUAAUAACAGAUGAUGCCUAUCAACUGUUUAAAAGAUGGUUCUGCUAUCACUCUUGGAUGGACCUGCGGUGCAUUAGCUAGUUGGUAGGGUAACGGCCUACCAAGGCGAUGAUGCAUAGCCGAGUUGAGAGACUGAUCGGCCACAUUGGGACUGAGACACGGCCCAAACUCCUACGGGAGGCAGCAGAC
rnacentral:rRNA from 1 species